rnacentral:rRNA from 1 species
CCUACGGGUGGCAGCAGUGGGGAAUAUUGGGCAAUGGGCGCAAGCCUGAUCCAGCAACGCCGCGUGAAGGAAGAAGGCUUUCGGGUUGUAAACUUCUUUUAUGAGGGACGAAAGAAAUGACGGUACCUCAUGAAUAAGCCACGGCUAACUACGUGCCAGCAGCCGCGGUAAUACGUAGGUGGCAAGCGUUAUCCGGAUUUACUGGGUGUAAAGGGCGUGUAGGCGGGACUGCAAGCCAGAUGUGAAAAUUAUGGGCUUAACCCGUAACCUGCAUUUGAAACUGUAGAGCUUGAGUGAUGGAGAGGCAGGCGGAAUUCCGAGUGUAGCGGUGAAAUGCGUAGAUAUACGGAGGAACACCGGUGGCGAAGGCAGCCUACUGGAGAUUAACUGACGCUGAGGCGCGAAAGCGUGGGGAGCGAACAGGAUUAGAUACCCCGGUAGUC